rnacentral:pre_miRNA from 1 species
AGCCCAAAUUCGAAGAAGCAUCAGAAUGGGGAAGUCUCAACAGGAGCGAUAUGAGAACACACAAUCAUAUGCAUAAAUAUUGUGUAUGUGUGUGUGCACGUGUGCAUGUGCAUGUGCGUGCUUGUGUGUUCCCAGGUCGCCCCUGCCGAGCCUGCCCAUAUCUAUAAAUAAUUCUUCUUGCUGCU